UACGGAGGGUGCAAGCGUUAUCCGGAUUUACUGGGUUUAAAGGGUGCGUAGGCGGAUCUUUAAGUCAGUGGUGAAAUCUCUCGGCUCAACCGAGAAACUGCCAUUGAUACUAUUGAUCUUGAAUACAGUUGAGGUGGGCGGAAUGUGUCGUGUAGCGGUGAAAUGCUUAGAUAUGACACAGAACACCGAUUGCGAAGGCAGCUCGCUAAACUGUGAUUGACGCUGAGGCACGAAAGCGUGGGGAGUAAACAGG
rnacentral:rRNA from 1 species